rfam:Apaloderma vittatum contig7511, whole genome shotgun sequence.
GGGCUAGCUCAGUCAGUAGAGCAUAGCGCUAGCAACUCUAAGGUCGCGGGUUCGAUUCCCGUUCGGUCCC